UAGAUUGAAUCGGGAAAUGUUGUUAUUGUUAUUUGUGGUUGUGUUCUUUUAAUGUACUUGAGUUGUAUUAGAAAAAAAAAAAUCAAUUAAAGCUCUUUCACUAGGUAAUACCAUAUAGUCAAGUGACUUAUACUAUAUUAUUAUAUUAUAGAUUGCGGGUUCGUAGAGGAACCUUUCUGACUCGAGAUUGAGUUUUGUUAGCUGUGGUUGCUGAUAAGGGACUUAAAGAUAGUUAGCUCUAGUUGGGUUAAAGAGUGCGUUGGAUCCCUUUUGAUUUAAUAGGACUUUUAAAAAGACUUCCGCUGUUAUUUAUUUAUAAGAUUUAUGUUCUGGCUUGUAAUAAUUUAUUUUACAUUCUAUUUAGUUGGUCUGUAAUAAUUAGUUAAAACUUUUGGUUAUUGUUUUAGUUAGAACCAUUAGCCUUGCGGUGAUUAUUAAUAAUUAUCGCGGCGUAGCACCUUUGGAUUUC